GUGGGUUUGUGUGUAAUAAGUGCACAGGGUCUAUACUGUGUGUAGGUGGGUGAUAUGUGAAAAUCUAUCUUAAUGUCUCCUCCCUUCUUUAUACCUUUUACCAGGGAGGGGGGACAUAAUGCUGCAAGCCCAGGUGGUAGCAUGUUCACUGUAGCCUGCAGCUCCUCCGGCUGCAGGCUGACUCUUCUGUCCUCCUGCAAGCACACCACUGUAUUGGAGUGUUGCCAUGUGCUGCAACGCUCCGACCAACCUGGUUGCGGGACGAACAUAGAGCCUGCUGGAACUAAGUGCCAGCCAGUCGGCCGGUGAGGGAGAUCUCCUGACCUGGGAGGGGUUACAGCAAGGCUUUGCAUAGGCCGGCAGGGGAGAUGAAAGGAUCUCCCUUGGUUCAUGGCCAUCAAGGCCCACUGGGCGUUUUCUGCCAAACCCACCACCGCCCUCCUGAAAUCCCAAACCGCCCACUAGUGGUUCUAUCGGUUCCUGUGCUAGUCUGAAAGUUUAAAGAAAUAAUUAAUUCCACCUAUUUGACAGCAGGCACAUGCUUAGGGUCAUUGUCAUGCUGGAAAGUCCAAGAGCAUCCCAUGCGUAGCCUUCGUGCAGAAGAAUGCAAAUUGUCUGCCAGUAUUUUCUGAUAACAUGCUGCAUUUAUCUUGCCAUUAAUUUUUACAAGAUUCUCUGUGCCUUUAGAACUCACCUCCCCAAAAAAUCAGUGAGCCACCACCAUGCUUAAGUGGGGAUGGUAGUGAUUUUCACUAUAGGCCUUGUUGACCCUUCUCCAAACAUAUCGCUUAUGGUUACGACCAUCAAGCUCUAUUUUGGUUUUGUCACUCCAAAUCACAGUGUGCUAGAAGCUGUGAGCUGUGUCAAGGUGUUGGUGGGAGUAACCAGGCUUUUUUGCAUUGGUGCAGUUAAGGCUUCUUUCUGACAACUCGACCAUUUAGCUAAUUUUUGUUCAAGUAGUAUAGUAUUGAGCCCCUUGAAACAACCACACAGUCUUUUUUCAAGAGCAGUCUGUGUAGCGGAG